rnacentral:rRNA from 1 species
AGAUUGAACGCUGGCGGCAUGCCUUACACAUGCAAGUCGAACGGUAGAGUAGCAAUACUUGAGAGUGGCGAACGGGUGAGUAAUAUAUCGGAACGUGCCCAGUCGUGGGGGAUAACGUAGAGAAAUUUACGCUAAUACCGCAUACGAUCUACGGAUGAAAGCGGGGGACUCGCAAGAGCCUCGCGCGAUUGGAGCGGCUGAUAUCAGUAUUAGGUUGGUGGUGAGGUAAAAGCUCACCAAGCCGACGAUCUGUAGCUGGUUUGAGAGAACGACCAGCCACACUGGGACUGAGACACGGCCCAG